ACGAACGCUGGCGGCGUGGAUAAGACAUGCAAGUCGAACGAGAGAAUUGCUAGCUUGCUAAUAAUUCUCUAGUGGCGCACGGGUGAGUAACACGUGAGUAACCUGCCCCCGAGAGCGGGAUAGCCCUGGGAAACUGGGAUUAAUACCGCAUAGUAUCGAAAGAUUAAAGCAGCAAUGCGCUUGGGGAUGGGCUCGCGGCCUAUUAGUUAGUUGGUGAGGUAACGGCUCACCAAGGCGAUGACGGGUAGCCGGUCUGAGAGGAUGUCCGGCCACACUGGAACUGAGACACGGUCCAGACACCUACGGGUGGCAGCAGUCGAGAAUCAUUCACAAUGGGGGAAACCCUGAUGGUGCGACGCCGCGUGGGGGAAUGAAGGUCUUCGGAUUGUAAACCCCUGUCAUGUGGGAGCAAAUUAAAAAGAUAGUACCACAAGAGGAAGAGACGGCUAACUCUGUGCCAGCAGCCGCGGUAAUACAGAGGUCUCAAGCGUUGUUCGGAAUCACUGGGCGUAAAGCGUGCGUAGGCUGUUUCGUAAGUCGUGUGUGAAAGGCGCGGGCUCAACCCGCGGACGGCACAUGAUACUGCGAGACUAGAGUAAUGGAGGGGGAACCGGAAUUCUCGGUGUAGCAGUGAAAUGCGUAGAUAUCGAGAGGAACACUCGUGGCGAAGGCGGGUUCCUGGACAUUAACUGACGCUGAGGCACGAAGGCCAGGGGAGCGAAAGGGAUUAGAUACCCCUGUAGUCCUGGCAGUAAACGGUGCACGCUUGGUGUGCGGGGAAUCGACCCCCUGCGUGCCGGAGCUAACGCGUUAAGCGUGCCGCCUGGGGAGUACGGUCGCAAGAUUAAAACUCAAAGAAAUUGACGGGGACCCGCACAAGCGGUGGAGUAUGUGGCUUAAUUCGAUGCAACGCGAAGAACCUUACCUGGGCUUGACAUGUAAUGAACAACAUGUGAAAGCAUGCGACUCUUCGGAGGCGUUACACAGGUGCUGCAUGGCCGUCGUCAGCUCGUGUCGUGAGAUGUUUGGUUAAGUCCAGCAACGAGCGCAACCCCUGUUGCCAGUUACCAGCACGUGAAGGUGGGGACUCUGGCGAGACUGCCCAGAUCAACUGGGAGGAAGGUGGGGACGACGUCAGGUCAGUAUGGCCCUUAUGCCCAGGGCUGCACACGUACUACAAUGCCCAGUACAGAGGGGGCCGAAGCCGCGAGGCGGAGGAAAUCCUAAAAACUGGGCCCAGUUCGGACUGUAGGCUGCAACCCGCCUACACGAAGCCGGAAUCGCUAGUAAUGGCGCAUCAGCUACGGCGCCGUGAAUACGUUCCCGGGUCUUGUACACACCGCCCGUCACAUCAUGGAAGCCGGUCGCGCCCGAAGUAUCUGAAGCCAACCGCAAGGAGGCAGGGUCCUAAGGUGAGACUGGUAACUGGGAUG
rnacentral:rRNA from 1 species